AACUGUUGAUGGUAUGGACAUUCCUAAAUAAGUGCAUUGAAGCGCUCCCAAGCAUGACAAAGAUUCUCGUCUGUCUUUUUUUUGAAGCACGCUAUCUCAUUAUGAAGAU
rfam:Capsicum annuum cultivar Zunla-1 chromosome 5, whole genome shotgun sequence